CCUACGGGAGGCAGCAGUGAGGAAUAUUGGUCAAUGGACGAGAGUCUGAACCAGCCAAGUAGCGUGAAGGAUGACUGCCCUAUGGGUUGUAAACUUCUUUUAUAUGGGAAUAAAAUGUUCCACGUGUGGGAUUUUGUAUGUACCAUAUGAAUAAGGAUCGGCUAACUCCGUGCCAGCAGCCGCGGUAAUACGGAGGAUCCGAGCGUUAUCCGGAUUUAUUGGGUUUAAAGGGAGCGUAGAUGGAUUGUUAAGUCAGUUGUGAAAGUUUGCGGCUCAACCGUAAAAUUGCAGUUGAAACUGGCAGUCUUGAGUACAGUAGAGGUGGGCGGAAUUCGUGGUGUAGCGGUGAAAUGCUUAGAUAUCACGAAGAACUCCGAUUGCGAAGGCAGUUCACUGGACUGCAACUGACACUGAGGCUCGAAAGUGUGGGUAUCAAACAGGAUUAGAUACCCGAGUAGUC
rnacentral:rRNA from 1 species